AACGCUAGCUACAGGCUUAACACAUGCAAGUCGAGGGGAAACGACAUCGAAAGCUUGCUUUUGAUGGGCGUCGACCGGCGCACGGGUGAGUAACGCGUAUCCAACCUGCCCAUCACUUGGGGAUAACCUUGCGAAAGUAAGACUAAUACCCAAUGAUAUCUCUAGAAGACAUCUGAAGGAGAUUAAAGAUUUAUCGGUGAUGGAUGGGGAUGCGUCAGAUUAGCUUGUUGGCGGGGUAACGGCCCACCAAGGCUACGAUCAGUAGGGGUUCUGAGAGGAAGGUCCCCCACAUUGGAACUGAGACACGGUCCAAACUCCUACGGGAGGCAGCAGUGAGGAAUAUUGGUCAAUGGGCGAGAGCCUGAACCAGCCAAGUAGCGUGCAGGAUGACGGCCCUAUGGGUUGUAAACUGCUUUUAUAAGGGAAUAAAGUGAGCCUCGUGAGGCUUUUUGCAUGUACCUUAUGAAUAAGGACCGGCUAAUUCCGUGCCAGCAGCCGCGGUAAUACGGAAGGUCCGGGCGUUAUCCGGAUUUAUUGGGUUUAAAGGGAGCGUAGGCCGGAGAUUAAGCGUGUUGUGAAAUGUAGAUGCUCAACAUCUGCACUGCAGCGCGAACUGGUUUCCUUGAGUACGCACAAAGUGGGCGGAAUUCGUGGUGUAGCGGUGAAAUG
rnacentral:rRNA from 1 species